rnacentral:lncRNA from 1 species
AUACCUUGGGGAUGCCAGCCUUGACACUGGCCUCAGUAACAGGACACAGCUCAUAAUUCAGUAGAACACUCGGGCAAGGAAUGAGAGAACCUUCCCAAGCAGAGAAAAUCCAAGAGAACUGCUGAGCUGAAAACAAAGGACAGAAACAUGUAAAGAGCAAGAGAAAAGAAGAUGCGGGCCCUAAUCCCUGGAAAAACUCCAUAGAACUCUUAAGCAAUGGGACCAAAAGGGUCUUAGACAAAGUAAACCCAGGAUCUGCCAGCUGUCGAAGGCUCAGAAAUCCUGAAACAAGUCUCUGAAGUCAGAAUCAGGUCUCUGUCAACAAAAGACUGUCUCUAGAUGAACACAAGACACUGUAAGGCAGCUGUUCUCAAACUGGCUUAUAUCAAGAAAUUUCUGAAAGAUAAAAGAUGAUUCUGCUUCAUAUGAGAAUGAUCGUGUUUAUUAAAUGCUACUGGUUUCAGGACUGUAGCAAAGAAGAAUCCGAUGAUAUCAAAGAAUGGAAUCUAUAGGAAGACUAAGUUGGCAUCCUCAGCAUUCGUUUCAAGAAUUCUGCACAUAACUUGAGGUGGCUGUUGUAUCUGCGAGAGGAUUUAACCAGAUGCUUUCUUUAUCACCUAAAUGUCAAGAGAAAUUCAACAAGAAAUGGAAUUUCCAGUGAAGAGUAUUAUUUGAAAGUCUGGCUUGAGAUUUGAUCAAUUUAAUUAUGAGACUCUGGGAUAUCCUUGCCACUUGGGAAUUAUUAUGGAAGAGUUGAAGGAAGGAUUAGAGGCCCCUAGUCAUGGGAACUCCACAGGAAGACCAACAGACUCAAACAACCUGGACCCUUGGGGCUCUCAGAGACUGAACCACCAACAAAAGAGCUUACGGACACAGCAAAUGCUGUGAAAGAGGAAGCAGAAAGAUUUUAAGAGUCAGUGAAGAGAGAUAAUGCCAAAGAAACAGUGACUUCCAGACACAACAGGACUGGUGCACAUAUGGAUUCAGAAACAAUGACAACAUGCACGGAAACUUCACAGGUCCAAGUUGGGUUUGUCUUUACAGCCCCUGCUUCCCUUGAACUUGCUUUGGAGACAAGAUUAGCCUUCAACUCAGAUAUGCAUGUGACUCUGCCUCCCCACUGCUGGAAUUACUACAAGGCAUUUCAACCACAUCCUUCAUUGGCUUCCUUGUAUGCCUACUCAAGGGAAUCACUGUGGAUCUUACAAUGUGUUUUUGGUCAGCUGGCUUCUACUUAUGUUGAAAGAGGAAGUUAUAUGGAGGAAAUUAGAAUGUAGAAGGAAAUUAUGAGGUAAGAAGAGGAAUGUUAGCUCACAAAGAAGAAGGACGGGUCAGAAUGUGAGGUGGAAGG